UGCCUCCCAGAUCUGAACAGGUGAACUCUGUGUCGUCCCCGAGCAAAGAGUAGAGCAGGCUUCCACAUACCACCGGCGAUUCGACCAGGCUCUGAAGCGGGCGGUGGGGGCUGUGGCGGCGGCAGGGACGGGAAGCAGAUCACGACUUUGCCGGCGACCUGUAUCAACAAAAUGGACUUCCCCUGGAUCCAGUGAGUAGGCCGUGUCUCCUCCUUUUCCAGUGCCUCUAUCUUUGAGGGCGCGGUGGAGGAUGCGGGGGAUAGUACGGUCGCGAGAGAUGGUGGAGCAGGGUCAAUCUGUGAUGGGCAUCAUCCAAGCUGUGGCUAGGGAUGCUGACUUGCUGAGCAGCCGGCUCCGCCCUCCCGACAGGGAAAAUGGAUCCAAACUCACUGGGGUGGACAAAAAUGUACAGAUUGUGAGCCAUGGUAUGAGCUGAUAACCCAACUUUGUAGUUACUACGGUAUGACAUUAGAAGUCGUCUUGCUAUGCUUAGAACAAAGAACAUAAGGAGAUUAGUAAUUCAUAGACAUGCUGUGUUGGAUGGUGACAGAAAGCAAUUUUUGCUGAAAAGAUCUUGUGAGCAGAUGCAUGGAGUUUGGCCAGUUUUCAGUUAACUAGUCUUACUGCGACAGGACGGUUUGGUACAUAUGUGCAAUUGAGUUAACUAGUCUGUCUGCGCUCGUGUGAUCCCAUAUAGUAUCUAUAGAACUGAAUUACAUGGUUAGUAAAAGUGAAAAAAAGCGAACUAAUUGGUAAAAUCGGGUGUCAUUCUAGCUCCAUCGUGCCUCAAACUUCUCCAUCGCCAUUCUAGUUUUACGUAAAGCUAACUGCAGAUCUUGUCUCGCCACAUGUAUGUCAGAUGCCGGCAGUGACACAGGAUCCAGAGACAGUAGGCACAUCAUUCACCCAGAGCUCCCAGAGGACGAUGCAAGCAAAGGCAGCAAUGGUCAGUCAACUGAGCACCAACCCCAGUUCAUGUUUCGUAGUUCCAUCAAGCAUGUAGUUGAGGUGCUAAAUGGGUUUGCCGAGUUCAAGGAAUUGCAUGUCAAAGAAAUCGACUCGGUGGGAUACUGGAGUUGCCGGUGCUGCAAAAGUUGAGCCUGAAAUUUAGUGCAUGGACCAUGAAUAGGGUCGAUGUUCACCGCCAUGCCAUAUCAAACAAUGAAAAUAAGAUUCUCAGGUUCUGGGCCGAAGAUAUACACAAGGUUUUCGGUGCUCCCUACAGCAACUGUGAUGUGAAGGGAAGGGACACCAGCAUUACUGAAGAAUCAAUCGAUUUUAUCAAGAGCUUGCUCGGGAUGAACAAAGCAGGGGUUCGCAGCCUACGUGCAGCCGAGGGAUUUAUAAAGAGGGAUAUCAGAGAUGAGUCAAGCAAGCUGGCGAAGGAUUGUUUUCAGAUUGCAUUUGUCAUAUUUGUGAUGGGCCACUUGCUAGCACCCUCGAUGAAGUAUUACUACUUUCAAAUUGAUUUUUGGGGGUAAUGGCCAACAUAGAGAACAUUGCACAAUUCAAUUUGUGUGAGUGUGUGGUGCAGUGCUUCAUGCCAUCGCAAAAGCUGAAGAAUUAUAUGUCCAAGAGGAGUGGCACCAUCAAUUUGUUUGGGUGUCAUCUUUUUCUGCAGCUGUUGUCUACUAAACAUGAUGUGCUGCCACAGAUCUGCAAGUUCGAUCAGGAGGAUGAUAACUAUAUAUGGCUUUCGACAUGUAAACUCUCCAGUUUCCUAUACGUGCUCUCCCGUUAGCAUAUUCCUCUUUAAAUAUACUAGACUACAGCAGACGUAAUGAUCAUGAUCAUUUUACUCAGUUUCAUUUGAUCUACACUUUUUCCAGCUUAGGCAUGGCAGCAAUGUUUGUUACACCCCUUCCAACUUUGUAGACGUGGAAGAAGCGCGACCUGUAAGACUGUAACUCCCCUACCUGUAAGGACCUUGCAGCAUACCCGAUUGAUAUACUACUGAGGGAGCAGAAUGCAAGAAGUAUGUCCCACAUUUCAACUGCACAACUAGACAUGUUGAAGUUCAGUACUCUCAGCGACAAGUGCAUCUGCUGCCAUAUCCGCGGAUCCACGGACUGUCCACUUAGGCCAUGGCACGCUGUAACAGCUGAUGCGUUACACACGCCAAUUGGUGAAAAGAUUGAUGGACAAGAAGUCGAUAUGUCUGAUUUCGAAGGUGAGAGUUCGGCAGCUGGUGCUGCAUCUCGCUCAAGAGGAAGCGCCGGAGUCAUUCUACGGAAGAAGCCUAGAGAGAUCACAGCGCCUGAAACAGCCAUUUGAGAGCAACGUGUAUUUGGCAAUAUGCACUAAGAUGAAGGAGUUCUCCUCUCAGCUGUGUGUGCCAAAGAUGGUUGUGCCAACAUUGAUCUGGUCACGGGACACACCCUCUUCCGAAACGGAAAUACUUAUCUGGUCGUAUACGCCAGCAAACCUUUCGGGUUUGCACCUUCCCAUCCUGACAUUCCUGAUUUGCUGGAACUGUAUAUGCGACGCAGAUGAGUUACAGAGGUUAUACAUCCUCCAAGUCUACCCUC